UACGUAGGUGGCAAGCGUUGUCCGGAAUUAUUGGGCGUAAAGCGCGCGCAGGCGGUUUCUUAAGUCUGAUGUGUAAGCCCACGGCUUAACCGUGGAAGGUCAUUGGAAACUGGGAGACUUGAGUGCAGAAGAGAAGAGCGGAAUUCCACGUGUAGCGGUGAAAUGCGUAGAGAUGUGGAGGAACACCAGUGGCGAAGGCGGCUCUUUGGUCUGUAACUGACGCUGAGGCGCGAAAGCGUGGGGAGCAAACAGG
rnacentral:rRNA from 1 species